UACUAUUCGGAGAUACGGCUGUUUUAAUAAUUUAUCGAGAUUUAUCUUUAUUAAGGUGGAUUUUCGCCAUUGGCGAAUUCGCUACACAAAAAAGAUUACGCUUUUUACUUUGUUGUUUUUGCUUUCUGCGUUUGGAAACAUGUAUUUGUUUGUAUCCGCGAAUCCUAAUGAUUUUUCCAUCGGGUCUCCUACAGCCUUGCGAAAAUCUCAAAUUCGCAUAUAUCAUGCUUGAGAAGUUUUAAGCUUGAGUUUUAGCCUGCGCAACUCAACUGUUUAGCCAAAAGAUCAUGGCAUUGUAUUUCGGCAGAUUUCCUAUUGGUUUCAAGAUUCAAUCAUUUUUGACGACAUGAGUGGCGAACAAGGGAUUUCGCAUCAAAAUCUCAUGCGUGAGUUUUGCUAAGCAGAUCUCAAAUGAGUUUGCUCUCGCGGGAUAACUCAAUGAUUGAGAUAUGAGUGUGAGUCUACCAACACUGGUCUCCCAAAUGGCGCUGUAUUCAUUUCAGAGCUAUUUGGCUUAUAAGCGGUUCAUAAAGCUCAUGGUAUUGGAAUGAGAUCAUAAGUCUUAUUUGUUAAUCCAAAAGUUAAACUAUCGAUAAACAAUCAAAACUUGUUUAACUUUUUCGGUAAAUUUAGAUUUCCAACAACUUUAGUUCAAGCUAAUUUUGUUUAGAGAAUUUUCCUUCAUCCAAAACAUUGAAAGAAGUCAUGGGCAGGAAGGGGUUAAAUCUAACUAAUUUAAUCAUAUGGGUAAACGUGGUUUACGGCUUAAAUGAAGGUGAAGAAAUAGGCCCCAACGUGGUUUACGGUUUCCUUAAGCGAAGGUGAAGAAAUCGGCCCUUAGCAUCUAUCUCCGAUAGGAUCAGCACAUCCAUUUCAAAAGGGCGUAAUCACAUUUUGUAACCCACAGCUUCUCAUGUCGCUUAUAUGCAGAGCAUUUGUUUUCGUAGCUGUGUACAAAAACCAUUGGAACUGU